ACAGCAAUUUCUUCAAGUACCGACAAGCUCUGUGGACCUACAGCAACUAACCCUGUGACCAAGACUUCACAAGCAAAGAAGCACCCUCUAACCAGAGCUGACAGUUUGCUAGUGUCAAAGAGGAAGAAAAUGGAUGCUUCUGAUCCAUGCAAUAGUGUCGGAGCUCCAGUAUCUGCCAGUGAUGCUACAAACAAAGCGACAAUCCUCAAGCAGCCCAGUAAGAGAGCUUUGCCUGCCAAAGCUCAAGGA